CACGUAGGAGGCGAGCGUUGUCCGGAAUCAUUGGGCGUAAAGAGCGCGCAGGCGGCUUGGCAAGUCGGGUGUGAAAUCCCGGGGCUCAACCCCGGGACUGCAUUCGAUACUGUUAGGCUAGAGGUAGGUAGGGGAGAUCGGAAUUCCUGGUGUAGCGGUGAAAUGCGCAGAUAUCAGGAGGAACACCGGUGGCGAAGGCGGAUCUCUGGGCCUUACCUGACGCUCAGGCGCGAAAGCUAGGGGAGCGAACAGG
rnacentral:rRNA from 1 species